rnacentral:rRNA from 1 species
UACGUAGGGGGCAAGCGUUGUCCGGAAUCAUUGGGCGUAAAGCGCGUGUAGGCGGCUUGAUAAGUCUGCUCUGAAAGCCCGGGGCUCAACCCCGGGAGGCGGGUGGAUACUGUCAGGCUCGAGUCCGGAAGAGGAGUGUGGAAUUCCUGGUGUAGCGGUGAAAUGCGCAGAUAUCAGGAGGAACACCAAUGGCGAAGGCAGCACUCUGGGACGUGACUGACGCUGAGACGCGAAAGCGUGGGGAGCAAACAGG